rnacentral:rRNA from 1 species
UUAAGCAUAUCAAUAAGCGGAGGAAAAGAAACCAACAGGGAUUGCCCCCAGUAACGGCGAGUGAAGCGGCAACAGCUCAAAUUUGAAAUCUGGCUCUCGGGCCCGAGUUGUAAUUUGUAGAGGAUGCUUUUGGUGAGGUGCCUUCCGAGUUCCCUGGAACGGGACGCCAUAGAGGGUGAGAGCCCCGUCUGGUUGGACACCGAUCCUCUGUAAAGCUCCUUCGACGAGUCGAGUAGUUUGGGAAUGCUGCUCUAAAUGGGAGGUAUAUGUCUUCUAAAGCUAAAUACCGGCCAGAGACCGAUAGCGCACAAGUAGAGUGAUCGAAAGAUGAAAAGAACUUUGAAAAGAGAGUUAAACAGUACGUGAAAUUGUUGAAAGGGAAGCGCUUGUGACCAGACUUGGGCUUGGUUGAUCAUCCGGGGUUCUCCCCGGUGCACUCUUCCGGCCCAGGCCAGCAUCAGUUCGCCCUGGGGGACAAAGGCUUCGGGAAUGUGGCUCUCUCCGGGGAGUGUUAUAGCCCGUUGCGUAAUACCCUGUGGCGGACUGAGGUUCGCGCAUUCGCAAGGAUGCUGGCGUAAUGGUCAUCAGUGACCCGUCUUGAAACACGGACCAAGGAGUCGUCUUCGUAUGCGAGUGUUCGGGUGUCAAACCCCUACGCGAAAUGAAAGUGAACGCAGGUGAGAGCUUCGGCGCAUCAUCGACCGAUCCUGAUGUUAUCGGAUGGAUUUGAGUAAGAGCAUACGGGGCCGGACCCGAAAGAAGGUGAACUAUGCCUGUGUAGGGUGAAGCCAGAGGAAACUCUGGUGGAGGCUCGCAGCGGUUCUGACGUGCAAAUCGAUCGUCAAACAUGGGCAUGGGGGCGAAAGACUAAUCGAACCUUCUAGCAGCUGGUUUCCGCCGAAGUU